UACGAAGGGGCUAGCGUUGCUCGGAAUCACUGGGCGUAAAGGGUGCGUAGGCGGGUCUUUAAGUCAGGGUGAAAUCCUGGAGCUCAACUCCAGAACUGCCUUUGAUACUGAAGAUCUUGAGUUCGGAGAGGUGAGUGGAACUGCGAGUGUAGAGGUGAAAUUCGUAGAUAUUCGCAAGAACACCAGUGGCGAAGGCGGCUCACUGGCCCGAUACUGACGCUGAGGCACGAAAGCGUGGGGAGCAAACAGG
rnacentral:rRNA from 1 species